rnacentral:rRNA from 1 species
UACAGAGGGUGCUAACGUUGUUCGGAAUCACUGGGCAUAAAGCGCACGUAGGCGGCUUGGUAAGUGCGGUGUGAAAGCCCCCGGCCUAACCGGGGAACUGCAUCGCAGACUGCCAGGCUCGAGAGCGGGGGGGGAGACUGGAACUCCUGGUGGAGCGGUGAAAUGCGUAGAUAUCAGGAGGAACACCGGUGGUGAAAACGAGUCUCUGGUCCGCUUCUGACGCUCAGGUGCGAAAGCUAGGGGAGCAAACGGG